rnacentral:rRNA from 1 species
GUCCUAGCCGUAAACGAUGGACACUAGGUGUCGGCUCCAUUAGGGGUCGGUGCCGCAGCUAACGCGUUAAGUGUCCCACCUGAGGAGUACGGCCGCAAGGUUGAAACUCAAAGGAAUUGACGGGGCCAGCACAAGCGGUGGAACAUGUGGUUCAAUUCGAUGCUACGCGAAGAACCUUACCCAGGCUUGACAUGCAAGGAGUAGGAACCUGAAAGGGGGACGACUCGUAACCAGUCGAGAUCUUGCACAGGUGCUGCAUGGCUGUCGU